rnacentral:misc_RNA from 1 species
AGCUGCUGCUGUGCAGUGAGAUG